AUGACUGCUCCCAGAGCUCUGAAAUGGGAUAAGAGUUCACUUGCCUGGUUUCUGCUUUGGCUAAGGUUUCAGUUGGCUUUGAUCAUCCCAAUGCACUCCUUUUUUCUCUCAUGGCAGGGAAGUGCUGGAGGGAGGCUAAAAUUCUCAUAUAAGAAAUCCACCUCAGGUCCAGUGGGACCUUGGCUACUGAAACCAAUUGUGUUGCUUCUGCUGCUGAAAUUAGUUAUGAGCUGCCUUUGGAGGAAACAGAUGCUGCCUGGGAACUUCUGAGUACUUAAAUCAUAUAACUAGAACAUUCUUAUACUGCUUUCAAAGUCUCAUGAUUGCUAAUGUAAAUGGAAGUGGUGUGGGAGCCAUACAAUACAACAUUGUUUGAACACAUCUUAAUGUUGUUUCAGCUGGGAGUGGGAUAUGGGGAAAGCACUGAGCUAAUGAAAGUAUCAGUUUUGCAUGGAGUGAUAGAGGUGGAGGAGUAAAACCAAAAGAAGUCCAAAGGCACAAGCUACCCUCCUUGAUGUUUAAAAGCCUGAAUAUGUUCCUCUUGUAAAUGCACAACAUAUACAAAAUGUGUGAUUCAAUGUAAUGAUUUUCUUAAAGUCUGCUGGAAACUAGUUUUGGUAACCAAACAAUGGAGUUGAUAGAUGGCUAUGAGAAAUGGAAUGUUUCUAUUGUAUUUAGUUUAGGGUUGUAGAUUCAGCUUAUCUUAUGUGUGAAAACAAGCCUUCUCUGCAGAACAUAGGCACUGAGGCUACAUUUACUCGUUGGCCACUGGAUGCCAGUGUUGCUCUGCAAAAACUGGUAGAGGGAAGCUUGGUUUUGUGACUACUGUUGCAAUGGCUGCUCUAAUAUCAGAAACAUUUUAUCACUUGUUUUCUAAACCAGAACAGGGAGUAAGAAAAGCACUACAUAAACUGUACACUUCAUGUUUUUCUUUCUUGAGAAACUGAGCACAAAGGAGUUGUUGAUUUAUAUUCUAUUCAUGUUAACAUACAAAAUAAGUUGUUAUGGCAGACACUGAUAUCUAAUGUAAUGAAAAUAACAUCAUCUUUGUGUUUAGUCUCUUUUAAACUGUCUUUAAUCUAUUUUGCUGCUGAUCUUUACUUUGGAGAAGCUUGGGGAAGGAAACAUUCUGUGCUGACUCAGAACUUAUAAUCCUGGCAUGGAUUAAACAGAAGUGUGGCAGUUUAAAGCAUCACGUAAAAAUGGACAAAAUUCAGGAUGUAUAGGACUUAUGAAUUUGAAGACAGUCUUCUUCUGUCUGGGAGAUACCAUACUUGAAGACACAGUGGGGAAAUAAGUUUAUUCACUGCCUUAAUUGUGUUAAGGUAUUUGUAUUUCCAAUCUUCUAAUGCUUAUCAGUUUUAAAUGAAGUUUAACUUAGUUUGAUGUCAACUGGUCUCUUUUGCCACAAAGAUUACUGCACAGAAUACUUAAAGGAGUGUACCACUGUGUACCUCACGCUGAAUGUUCAUUCAACAAUAAGAUACUGAAUCUGUCAAACCUAACUGUCAUACUGAAAUGCUCUUUCCUAUGUCAGUCCUGUAUGCCAUCCUGUAUGCUAUAGUUAGCAUGAAAAAUCAUUAUUUCUCAAAGAAGCAGCCUCUGGGCAAGUAAUCACCGGAUUAAAUGGAAAUGAUAAUGACUUCAUUAUUCAUCCUUAGCCUUGUCACACUUUUACUUUGCUCCCAGAAAAAGUAUAAGGCUUUCCCUUUAAGUGUUCCUUAGAAAUAGCUUUAGACUAGAAGUAGCUGGUUUAGGGCUGUAGGACAAUCUCUUCAGUUUUAUUAGCUGAUAUGGAAAAUUCUUUCGUUAAUUUCUCCAAAAGAUCCUUCUGUUGUAGAGGAAGUGAGAGGCUGUUUAACAGCAGGGCCCAUUUGUUGUAUUUUAGAGGAAAAGUUAUUUAAAAAAUAGCUAACUUUAAUUAGCUUUAUUGUAUUUCAAACCACAGAGUGCUGGCAGGGACUCAGAGGCUCAGCUAACUGGAUGGCUCGUAUUCAGUGACCAAAAACACUGUCCUGUUCAUUAGCUGGGUACUUGGAUUCCUGUUGCUGUUAGUCUUUAACUGUAAUGAGCACAACACAUAACUCAUGGUAAAGUGCUGUAAGGGCCCUGAGUAUUCUCUCUGCAGGAGGUGUAAGUGCUAAGAUUCAGGGCCAGCCUAGAGAUGGUGUGGCUGAAGGCAGACUCCUUACUCUCUGAUUUUUUAGAGAAAGUGCUGCCAGAUAGCACUGUGGGUAGGACUCACAAGGGCUUAUGCCUUUUUGUUUGUUGUUUGUUUGUUUUUUGUCUUGAGGGAACUGCUGUUAAGCUGAGGCUCUAGAGCUUUUCCUUACCUAAGCUCUGUGGAGCUCUGGCAGUGUCACACCUGGAGAUCACAGAAUAUCCUGAGUGUUGGAAGGGUUCCACAAGGAUCACUGAGUCCAAAUCCAUGAUCUAUGAAGUGCAUAGAAGACACUGGAGAAUGCAAAUGUUCUUGUUUAUUUUUUUUUAUUCUGCCUAUGUUUAAAAUGACUGUAAUAA
ensembl:lncRNA